UGGAAGUUCUCAAAUAAACACUUUCAACCCAAACUUCUCCUUCGAGAACAUUCUCUGUUUUGCAGGCCAUUAUGCCACUGUCUGUGUCUCCAGAAUAAAUCCAGGACCCAUCUCCACUGCUACAACUCUGGUCAAGAUUACCAACCUCUCUUGCCUGAACUAGUUUACAGGGGCAUGACUGGUCCUCAACAAAUACUUGUUGCCAGAAUGAAUGAAGGAGCCAUCAAAAGAAGAGAGAGUAAGUGGGUUAUAGGUGAAUAGCUGCCCAAAUAUUCAAUGGAUGCUGAGGGAUUAGA